UACGGAGGGUGCAAGCGUUAAUCGGAAUUACUGGGCGUAAAGCGCGCGUAGGCGGCUUGUUAAGCUAGAUGUGAAAGCCCUGGGCUCAACCUAGGAACUGCAUUUAGAACUGGCUCGCUAGAAUAUGGUAGAGGUUAGUGGAAUUUCCUGUGUAGCGGUGAAAUGCGUAGAGAUGGGAAGGAACACCAGUGGCGAAGGCGACUGACUGGACCAAUAUUGACGCUGAGGUGCGAAAGCGUGGGUAGCAAACAGG
rnacentral:rRNA from 1 species